rnacentral:rRNA from 1 species
UAGCAUAUCAAUAAGCGGAGGAAAAGAAACUAACAAGGAUUCCCCUAGUAACUGCGAGUGAAGCGGGAAAAGCUCAAAUUUAAAAUCUGACGGUCUAUGGUCGUCCGAGUUGUAAUCUAGAGAAGUAAUGCCCGCGCUGGACCGUGUACAAGUCUCCUGGAAUGGAGCGUCAUAGAGGGUGAGAAUCCCGUCUCUGACACGGACUACCAGGGCUUUGUGGUAUGCUCUCAAAGAGUCGAGUUGUUUGGGAAUGCAGCUCUAAAUGGGUGGUAAAUUCCAUCUAAAGCUAAAUAUUGGCGAGAGACCGAUAGCGAACAAGUACCGUGAGGGAAAGAUGAAAAGAACUUUGGAAAGAGAGUUAAACAGUACGUGAAAUUGCUGAAAGGGAAACGCUUGAAGUCAGUCGCGUUGGUCGGGAAUCAGCCUCACUCUUGUGUGGUGUACUUUCUGAUUGACGGGUCAGCAUCAAUUUUGACCGCUGGAAAAAGGCUUAGGGAAUGUGGCAGCUUCGGCUGUGUUAUAGCCCUUUGUCACAUACAACGGUUGGGAUUGAGGAACUCAGCACGCCGCAAGGCCGGGUUUUUAACCACGUUCGUGCUUAGGAUGCUGGCAUAAUGGCUUUAAGCGACCCGUCUUGAAACACGGACCAAGGAGUCUAACAUGCCUGCGAGUGUUUGGGUGGUAAACUCGAGCGCGUAAUGAAAGUGAAAGUUGAGAUCCCUGUCGUGGGGAGCAUCGACGCCCGGACCAGAACUUUUGUGACGGAUCCGCGGUAGAGCAUGUAUGUUGGGACCCGAAAGAUGGUGAACUAUGCCUGAAUAGGGUGAAGCCAGAGGAAACUCUGGUGGAGGCUCGUAGCGAUUCUGACGUGCAAAUCGAUCGUCAAAUUUGGGUAUAGGGGCGAAAGACUAAUCGAACCAUCUAGUAGCUGGUUCCUGC